AGCAGUAGCCACGGGAAUACGGAGGGGGCUAGCGUUGUUCGGAAUUACUGGGCGUAAAGCGCACGUAGGCGGCUUUGUAAGUCAGAGGUGAAAGCCUGGAGCUCAACUCCAGAACUGCCUUUGAGACUGCAUCGCUUGAAUCCAGGAGAGGUCAGUGGAAUUCCGAGUGUAGAGGUGAAAUUCGUAGAUAUUCGGAAGAACACCAGUGGCGAAGGCGGCUGACUGGACUGGUAUUGACGCUGAGGUGCGAAAGCGUGGGGAGCAAACAGGAUUAGAGACCCGUGUAGUCCCUGUCUCUUAUAC
rnacentral:rRNA from 1 species